CCUUCGGGGGCAUGUGCACGUCCGAGCCGUUUAAAUCAACACCUGUUGAACUCACCGUAGGCCUUCGGGCUUAUGUAUCAUAUAUAUAUAUACUCAGAUCAUAGAAUGUACAUUUUGCCUUUAAAAAAGCAAUCAAAUACAACUUUCAAUAACGGAUCUCUUGGCUCUCGCAUCGAUGAAGAACGCAGCGAAAUGCGAUAAGUAAUGUGAAUUGCAGAUUUUCAGUGAAUCAUCGAAUCUUUGAACGCACCUUGCGCUCCUUGGUAUUCCGAGGAGCAUGCCUGUUUGAGUGUCAUUAAAUCCUCAACCCCGUCCGUCGGUCGGGGCUUGGACUUUGGAGCGUGCUGGCGAAGGUCGGCUCCUCUUUAAGUGCAUCAGCGGAGAAAAACAAACCUUUUUUCCCCCUUCAGCGUGAUAACUGUGUUGCGCUGUGGUCGCGAAAGGGUCCGCUCAUAAUCGUCCUCGGACAAACACCGAAUCUGUUUUGACCUCAGAUCAGGUAGGACUACCCGCUGAACUUAAGCAUAUCAAUAAGCGGAGGAAAAGAAACUAACAAGGAUUCCCCUAGUAACUGCGAGUGAAGCGGGAAAAGCUCAAAUUUAAAAUCUGGCGGUCCUCUGGCCGUCCGAGUUGUAAUCUGGAGAAGUGUUUUCCGCGUCGGACCGUGUACAAGUCUUCUGGA
rnacentral:rRNA from 1 species